GAUGAAGAACGCAGCGAAAUGCGAUAAGUAAUGUGAAUUGCAGAAUUCCGUGAAUCAUCGAAUCUUUGAACGCAUAUUGCGCCCUCUGGUAUUCCGGGGGGCAUGCCUGUCCGAGCGUCAUUACAACCUUCAAGCACGGCUUGGCUGUUGAGCGGUCUGUUUUGACGAACAGGGCUCGAAAUGCAGUGGCGACGGCGAGAUUGGUGCCCGAGCGUAUGGGGCUUUGUCACACGCUCUGGUGGCUCCACUCGCAGUCUGCCAUAGACCCAAUCAAUCUGAUUGACCUCGGAUCAGGUAGGAACACCCGCUGAACUUAAGCAUAUCAAUAAGCGGAGGA
rnacentral:misc_RNA from 1 species